GAUGAACGCUGGCGGCGUGCCUAAUACAUGCAAGUCGAGCGAACGGACGAGAAGCUUGCUUUUCUGAUGUUAGCGGCGGACGGGUGAGUAACACGUGGAUAACCUACCUAUAAGACUGGGAUAACUUCGGGAAACCGGAGCUAAUACCGGAUAAUAUUUUGAACCGCAUGGUUCAAAAGUGAAAGACGGUCUUGCUGUCACUUAUAGAUGGAUCCGCGCUGCAUUAGCUAGUUGGUAAGGUAACGGCUUACCAAGGCAACGAUGCAUAGCCGACCUGAGAGGGUGAUCGGCCACACUGGAACUGAGACACGGUCCAGACUCCUACGGGAGGCAGCAGUAGGGAAUCUUCCGCAAUGGGCGAAAGCCUGACGGAGCAACGCCGCGUGAGUGAUGAAGGUCCUCGGAUCGUAAAACUCUGUUAUUAGGGAAGAACAUAUGUGUAAGUAACUGUGCACAUCUUGACGGUACCUAAUCAGAAAGCCACGACUAACUACGUG
rnacentral:rRNA from 1 species